GACUAACGCUGGCGGCGUGCUUAACACAUGCAAGUCGAACGGUGAAGCGCCUUCCUUUUUGGUGGGUGUGGAUGAGUGGCGAACGGGUGAGUAACACGUGAGUAACCUGCCCCCUUCUUCUGGAUAACCGCAUGAAAGUGUGGCUAAUACGGGAUAUUCUGGGUCUGUCGCAUGAUGGGUCUGGGAAAGAUGUUGUUUCGGUGGGGGAUGGUCUCGCGGCCUAUUAGCUUGUUGGUGGGGGGCGGGCCUACCAAGGCGGUGACGGGUAGCCGGCCUGGGAGGGUGGACGGCCAGACAGGGACUGAGACACGGCCCAGACUCGUACGGGAGGCAGCAGUGGGGAAUAUUGGACAAUGGGCGCAAGCCUGAUGCAGCGACGCCGCGUGAGGGAUGGAGGCCUUCGGGUUGUGAACCUCUUUCGCCAGUGAAGCAGGCCUGCCUCGUUUGUGGGUGGGUUGACGGUAGCUGGAUAAGAAGCGCCGGCUAACUACGUG
rnacentral:rRNA from 1 species